GCUCCGUCUGCUGCACAGGACUUUUGACAAAUUUUCCCCCCUUUUUCUUCAUUUAGUGUGCUUAUGGUUAAAUAUUGGCACUCUCUAGUUAUGUAUUCCAAGAUUGUUCUUUCAAAAUUGUUGUUAUUGUAUACUCUCUUUUCUUUUUUUGGCAUGGCUUGAAUUGUUUGCAAAUCAUCUGUUACUCUUCAAGUCCAGAUAUGUUACUGCAAAUCAAGAAACAUACAUGGGAUUGAUGACUGUCUGCAAACUUUGUACUAUAUCUGCAAAAAAAAAAGAAGUGCAGGUGGAUGAAUUUGCGAAUAGAUGCAACUUUAGUUACUGUUUGCAGCUAGCUCUACACGUGC
rnacentral:lncRNA from 1 species